UGUCGAAGUAGAGGUCCAAGUAGAUGUAGAAGUAGAGGACAUCUACUUGGACCUCUACUUUGACAUCUACUUGGACCUCUACUUCUACAUCUACUUGGACCUCUACUUCUACA
rnacentral:pre_miRNA from 1 species